AUGAUAAACAGUUACCUGUCUCGUUGUGCCCUCACAACCAAGAACAUGACAAAAUCUGACUUUCAAAAAGGCUGAGGCUGAGUCUCAGAGACUGGAGGAUUUGAGCAGUGAACUGGGGUGUCCUGAGAACAGAUUCUGUAGGUACCAGAUGUGAUGACCAACAUAACCUUCAGAAAUCAACUGAACAACUGUUUCUUGGUGUUCAUCAAAAAAAGCCUUUAUAAUCAGACUGGUAUGUUGAUAACUCAUCUAAUAUUUUUGUCAUUUUUAUGUCUUAUCUGGAUUAUUUUGGUAUUAACAUGUUUUCAGGUCCUUAAUGUUAAAAUGUCUUCCAUGUAAUUUUACAGAUAUUACAGUUUUUUAAGAUUGCUUACACACUAAAAUGAAAAAUAACACACAGUUACUGAAAACUUAUACUCAAGGAGCAAAACCUCAGCCCAGAUCUGCACUAUAAGCACAUUCUCAGCCACACACUUUUUGCAAAACACUAAACACACUUCUCUACAUUAGACACAGAAAUCUAACAUAAUGUCACUUCUUUGUCAUUUCAAGACACUGCUUUCCAAAAUACCGCCCCUAUAAACCAAUUGAUCAAACAUGGCUGUCAGGUGUUCAGACACUUAGGUGCGUAACUGUAAACUCAACAAUCAGGUGUAAGUAGCCUACGAUAAAAAGGCAAAAGGUGAGUUUAUGUGUCUUCAAUGUUGCAGUAAGAGGGAGAGGGAGAAACAUCAUUGGCCACAGAGCUAUUUUGAAUGUCCCGGGACAACGUGGUGGUAACAUCACAAUAUAUGUUGCAGUCACGCAGAAUGGGGUCCUCCACCAGCAUGCCAACUUAGAC